GUUUGGUACCAAUCAGUUUCUGGAUGGUCUGUCUCCUGUCUGGUACCGCGAGAGUGAAGGGACAGCAAAGCAAUGUCAGAUCCCAUCAUGCUUCAGAAAAGAAAUCCUUAAAUUCACAAGGAUGAAGUCGGUGGAGACAGCAGGAAGAGUGAAAAUGAGAAUGGAAGGUGUUAAUGAAGGGGCGUAUUCAGUUUCAAAAUUAAAAAAAAAAAAAACGAAUUACUCCUCGGGGAUACUUAAGGACUGAUACCAAGAGAGCAGAGAGAGGAUUCCGGAUUUCUUUCCCAGGGAAAAGCCAUGCUGCUUCUUUAAAUUCUUUUGAUCCCGGAAGAAUUCUUUGCUGCCAUCUCUAAAAUAAAUGGGCUUCCCGACGCUGUUCCCCCCAGCUGACCAGAUUUAUCGGGUCCUAGAAUUGGCAUCACACCUUUCUAUUGACACUUCCUUAAGGGGGAAAUGAUAACUGGCAACCGGUAGAGAUUGCUCAGGCUUCAUAAUAAAAAGAAGAAUGGUGGAA